CCUACGGGAGGCAGCAGUGGGGAAUAUUGGACAAUGGGCGAAAGCCUGAUCCAGCAAUGCCGCGUGAGUGAAGAAGGCCUUCGGGUUGUAAAGCUCUUUUACCCGGGAAGAUAAUGACUGUACCGGGAGAAUAAGCUCCGGCUAACUCCGUGCCAGCAGCCGCGGUAAUACGGAGGGAGCUAGCGUUGUUCGGAAUUACUGGGCGUAAAGCGUACGUAGGCGGCUUGGUAAGUCAGAGGCGAAAGCCCACGACUCAAUCGUGGAACUGCCUUUGAGACUGCUUCGCUUGAAGAUGGGAGAGGUUAGUGGAAUUCCGAGUGUAGAGGUGAAAUUCGUAGAUAUUCGGAAGAACACCAGUGGCGAAGGCGGCUAACUGGACCAUUCUUGACGCUGAGGUACGAAGGCGUGGGGAGCAAACAGGAUUAGAUACCCUGGUAGUCCACGCCGUAAACGAUGAUAACUAGCUGUCGGGGCUCUUGGAGCUUCGGUGGCGCAGCUACGCAUUAAGUUAUCCGUCCGUCGGGUAGGUACGGCCGCGAACGGUUAAACGUACGAAAGAAGUAGACGGCGNGAAGACGUGCCGACGGACGACGACGAGGGAGGUUAGG
rnacentral:rRNA from 1 species